rnacentral:snRNA from 1 species
AUCGCUUCUCGGCCUUUUGGCUAAGAUCAAGUGUAGUAUCUGUUCUUAUCAGUUUAGGAAUAUUCCUCCAGGUUGCAUUCUAACAAGGGAAAAUGUAGCCCCUGGCCCUCAGAUGCCAGGGUUGUGCCCAACUAAUUAGGUCUCUUGAUAAGCCUUUUGUAUUAUCUGGGAGCUUUG